rnacentral:lncRNA from 1 species
CGCUGCCAUCUGAUUUUUUGAAAUAUAAGCGGCAUAGGCGGGUUCCCAACAGUGGUAUCAGAGCCUAGGCAUCAUAGAUUAAGGUAAGAAUUAAUUAUCUAAAGGCUUAUUAGAUCUGAAAAAUUGAAUGAUCAUGCAUGCUGAAAAUUUCUGCAUGCAGAUUUUUUCUAGGGUGCUGAUUUUUACAUGCUGAUUUUUAUGUGAUAAAAAGAUGAUUCUAAUUGCAUUUUUAAUGGGAUUACAAAGUUUAGAAUCAUGAUUAGCAUGAUCAGCAACCUAUGUCAUGAGAUAAUCAGUUAGUUUUCAGAUAUGAAAAUUA